CCCUCCUGGUAGGAAUGUAUAUCCCAUACGUCACUAGCUCAUGGACUCUUGCUAAUAUGAAAGAAAUGAAUUUAUCAGGUAAGUUCUUACAUAAAUUAUGUUUUUUUUGUUGGGUAGUGGUUUUCAGGCCUGGUCCCCCUUUAGAAUGGGCCGCCUGUGGUACCCUCCCGUUUUGGCAUUCAGUGUCCCCUAUAGCUUGGGUAUUGUUUUCCCAAAAUUAAUGAAUGCAGCUGUGGACUCUUUCCAUUUAGGGAAAAAAAAACAUAAAUUAUGCUUAUCUGAUCAUUUUCUUUUCUUCCGAUGGAAAGAGUCCACAGCUCCCCACCUGUCUUUUUUUUUUAUGUGGUGCGUCUUGGUUUUUUAUUCUUCUGGCACCUUUUCACCCCGAUAUUUUUUCUACUGUUCCUUGGCAAUAUGACUGGGGGAUGAGGGAAGUGGGAGGAGUAUUUAAGCCUUUGGCAGGGGUGUCUUUACCUCCUCCUGGUAGCCAGGUUCUUAUUUCCCAAAAGUAAUGAAUGCAGCUGUGGACUCUUUCCAUCGAAUGAAAAGAAAAUGAUCAGGUAAGCAUAAUUUGUUUUUAAACAACUUUCUAAUUUAUUUCUAUUAUCAAUUUUUCUUUGUUCUCUUGGUAUCUUUUGUAGAAAAGCAGGGACGUAAGCUUAGGAGCCGGCCCAUUUCUGGAGCACUAUAUAGCAGCAGUUUUGCAAGAAUGUUAUCCAUUUGCAAGAGCACUAGAGGGCAGCACUAUUUCCUGCCAUGCAGUGCUUCAGAUGCCUACCUAGGUAUCUCUUAAACACAGAUCAUGGGUGUGAAGCAAAUUUGAUAAUAGAAGUAAAUUGGAAACUUUUUUUUAAAAUGGUUUGAUCUGCCUGAAUCACAAAAGAAAAUGUUUGGGUUUCAUAUCCCAUUAAUAAUAUGUAGUCUGUACAAUAAUACUCUUAAUUCUAAACAUUAGACUCUUGCCUAAAAUAUCACCAGACAUCAGUCAUAUGGAGCCAGAUUUAUCAUCCAUGUUCAGGGGUGUACAUAUUCGCCCUUGUCCUCCCGGCUUCUUAUCAUUUACCAUUGCACACGAGCGCUCGUGCACUUGCGUGCAACCCUGCCAGUGCACACCAAAUCACGUGCGGAUAGAAGCUGUCAAUCUCUCUGUUUGGGGAGAUUGAAAUUCUCCUGCAGUCAAAGGGGAGAAAAGGGCUUUAUAGACUUGCUCUUCUUAUGAGACUUCAAACUACUUAUGAGCUUGUAUAGUGCAUAAGUAUGGUGUACAAAAUUGGACUGAACAAAACUUUUUCUUGCAGCCUCUCAAACCAUAAGUUUAAGACUUAAGGUUUAUCAAGUUGAAAACAUUUGCCUCUCAAAAGUUGUGAAUAAGACAAUUAAUUUAUUAUGAUUUGAUAUUUUUUUUCUUAAUACAUUCUACUAAAAUUGCUGUUUCAUGUGAUGCAAGGUCUGGCUAGUUCAUUCUUCUUUGAUUAUUAAAUUGAUUUGGUUCAAAGUUAUACGAUGUAUUAAAAUAUUAUUCUAUUACUUUAGAGCAUCCAUUAAUGUCCAGUUUUUAUUACUGAAACAGGUCAUAUGUGAGGUGAAAGAUUACGCACAGACUGCAUGCAUAUGCAUUGGGCAUACAUAGAUCAACUGCCUGGUAUACUUUGUGCUAUUUUAGGACCAGUCUUGCAAAUUUAUCUUAGUUUUUAACUGACCAUAAGCUGCUCUGUUUUGUAGUGGAGUUGAUUUUCUGACUUAUGUUAAUUUAUUUUAUUUUUUUUGGAUAACAUUGUAUUGAGCUUUUUCUUUAAAACUUUUUUAUUUUCAUAGCUAUAAUUAUAUACUUUGUGGUGGUGAAGCUAUUUUUUAUUUUUUUUUAUUUUUUGCUUUUCCUAUUACUAUUGACAUUAAACAGUGUACUGAUUCUUACACAUAUACGGGCAGGUUACAAGUGGCUUGCUAUUUAGAGCUUUCACUUGCGCGGAAACACCGCUAGAAGUAAGCUUUUAAUGCACGCACAUUUGUGCGAGUAUUACAAGUUAAAAGUAAAACUUUUGCGCACAAGCGGAACCCACUGUGCGUUAACUUCAGGACUUUGGCUAUCACAUUAACAAAUUCGCCCCAUAUACUUCAAUGGAACAUUUUAUGAAAAUAACUCAACAUUUAUCCCUUGCACACUAACCCAACACAGUGUUAUACUGCACUGCUCAACCCAAUGUGAGUUAUUCAUAUUUCACAUUCCAAUGUUCUUCACAUAGAAGAAAAUGUUCUUUUUAUAUUUAAAGAUGUGUAUUUAGUCAUAUAUGUAUACAUUAUAGUCCUUUUAAUUCAAAUACCUUCACUUACCAUUUACAUUUUAACUUUUUUAUAAAAAAAUAAAUGAUGAAUAUUUAUAUAUUAUAGAUUAUUUGUAGAGCGCCAACAGAUUUCACAGCGCUAUAAACAUAGGCGGAGUACAACAAAACAUUUAUAGGGAUCAAACGGGUAGAAGGCCCUGCCAAGAGUCGUUGUAGUCGGAUCUUAAGAAGGUGAUCUACAAACAGCUGGACUCUUAGACUUACAUGUUAAGGGGGUUCAAGGGGAUAGCAAUGGAGGAGAGGAACUGGUAUAAAGAAAGGUUUGUGUAGGUUGUAUGCAUCCCUGAACAGUAGUCUUUAGGGAGCGCUUGAAACUUUCAAAGCUAUGGUAUAGUCUUGUGGAGCGAGGCAGAGAGUUCCACAAGAUGGGAGCCAGUCUGGAGAAGUCUUGUAAAUGGGAGUGUGAUUAGGUAACAAGAGAGGAGGAGAGGAGGUCAUGAGCAGAGUGAAGGGGACGGGAGGGAGAGUAUCUGGAGACAAGGUAUGAGAUAUAGGGGGGGAGCAGUGCAGUUGAGGGCUUUGUAUGUCAGAGUGAGAAUUUUGUGUUUAAUCAUAGAGGCAGCCAGUGAAGGGAUUGGUAGAGAGGUGCAGCAGAUGAAGAGCGACGUGUAAGGAAAAUGAGCCAGGCAGAGGCAUUCAUUAUGGAUUGUAAAGGAGCUAGGCGGAGACCAGAGAGGACAGAGUUGCAGUAAAUGAGGCGUGAAAGGAUGAGAGAGUGGAUUAAAAUCUUGUCUUGUGUAAGGACAUGUCUAAUUUUAAAGAUGUUUUUAAGAUGAAAGCGGCAGGAUUUAGCCAAGGACAGAAUGUGAGGAGUGAAAGAAAGAUCUGAGUCAAAUCUGACCCCAAGACAUCGGGCAUGCGGGGUAGGGCUAAUGGAGUUCUCGACUGUUAUACAGAGAUUGGGGGUGAAGAUUUUGGAAGAGAGGGGGGGAAUAAGGAGCUCAGUUUUGGAGAGAUUUAGCUUGAGGUAGUUAGAGGACAUCCAGGAAGAGAUGUGAGAAAGACAGUUAGUGGAACCCGUGGGACUUUAUUAGAGACCCUAAUGAUGAUGUGUAGAUUGAGAAGAGAAGGGGACCGAGGACAGAGCCUUGUGGUACCCCAAAAAAGUUGUGACGGGGCAGAGGAGGCCCCAGAGAAGGCUAUACUAUACGGUUUGACAGGUAGGAAGAGAACCACAAAAGGGCUGUGUCACAAAUGCAGAAGGAUUGGAGUUUUUUGGGUUUUUUUUAUCAGAUAGUGUAUAUAUGAGUGUAACAGUUUAUUUUAAUGCAUUUAUUUUUUGUUUGGUGCACAUUUUUUUUUAUUUAAACACUUUGCGCAAGAUCUUCAGUCAAGCUAACCUGAUGAACGUAAAUUUAAUUUGCACUGGAGCAAACACAUUUACUUUCAACUUGUAAUUCACAUGCAAGUUACUGCGGUCACGAUAUUGCUUAUGAUUGGCACAAACAAUAGCGUGCAACUUGUAAACUGGCUCAUAGUCAAAUUUAUAAAUAAGGGGUGAUCCAUGAUGGGUGGAAUGCAGGAUUUUUUUUUUUUAAUCUACCAUUGAUAUUGCUUAUGAUGAUAGAAGUGUUAGUAAUUAAAUGAAACAAGCUUUGUAAAUUAUAAGCAAACACCCAUAUUUUCUCUUUUAAUUUGAAUGGCAGGACUUUAAAAAUGUAGUCCUAGAAGAUUUCUUGAGACUUGGAAAAGAAGCUGGUUUGAAAACCUUUGAACAAGUGAAAGAUAUUGCCUUGUAUCCAGAAAUGUUUUCCAUAGAAAAUGGCCUUUUAACACCUACAAUGAAAGCCAAGAGACCAGAGUUGAGAAAAUUCUUCAAGAGUCAAAUUGACGAACUGUAUGCCAAUAAUCACUUAUAACCGAAGAGCAGAAAUGUAUGAAGAAUUCCCAGGUUUAACUGGUCAUCGAUUAGCUCUCAAUUCACAACUGCAAACACAUUUAUACUGGUCAUAGGAAUAGCAAGAUCUGAAAUGCCUUAUUGGUCACCUUUCUUGUAACCAAUGUGACCUGGUGUCUCCAAAGUAGGCCUUAAAUUGAGAAGGACAUCUAGAUUUUAUUGGACAUCUUUGACUUUCCUUAUACAAAUGAAAAUCUCUGCAAUCUUAACAUAUUUUUCUAUCCCUAAUUUUAUGCUCCUUUCUGAUGUCAGCAUUUGUUACGCAGCCCAUGAUUGUAAUUAAUUUAAAUAAGAUGUAUGCGUGAAAAAAGUGGUGUAAAACUGUGAAAUGUUUUGGAAUAAGAGCAUAAGAACUGAAUGUAAUUUUUUGCUGUUUAAUACUGAAUGUAUAAUAAACUUCUUAAAAAAUAAACAAAAAUACAUAUAAAAAACACUUUUCAAAACAUUAAGAAAACCAGAUUUUUUUUUUUUUUUUUUUUUACCAAUCAAAUUUCACUGUUACCAGCUUGCAUAUACACAAAGCAAAUUAUGCUAGUAAGAACACUGAAAAUAGACAGCAACUGUUAAUACUUUCAAAUAACAUUCAUGCCAAAUAAUUAUACUUUUUAAAAUGGCACUAAUAGAUGUCUACCUUUUUCUUAAAAAUAUUUAAAUUGUGCAUUAUAUAUUGUAAAUGGUAUCUGCUUAAAUAUAUUUCCAUAAUUUUAUAAGGAAAUCCUCCUUUUUUCACCAAUGUGUCAGAAAGCUGCUAAAUCGUGGGCUAGUCUGGUUAUCUAUUUGCUGCCAGUCCCAGAUUUGAAAGUGCAAUUUUUGCUGACUUUUAUUUAAUCUGUUUUGCAGCGAUAAGUUAUUUAUGUAAUUUACAGAAGGGAAAUGUUCAAAAUAGACUUUUUGUGGCAAAAGGGACAUUUUUAGCACCACUGUUUGUUAUAUUUGUAUUCUAUGUUAAAUUGCCCUAGUACAAGUAUUUGUUAGAACUGAAAGCCACAAGGGAGGAAUUAGUUAAAAUCAAGCACAAAACUGUUUGCACUAUGUAAUUAUGAUGCACUGCAGCCUAGGGUAAUUAUCAUUUAUAUUAUUGCACAAAAUGCAGCAUGACCUUUUUAUCCAAAUUGUGUGGUAACUUCAAAGUUUGCCUAAAGCGUGGAUCUUGUACAAACCAAAAAAGUUCCCUUCUCUACUUCCAAAAACAUGAAGGAAACCAAAAUAAAUCAAUUUUCAUUUGAA